rnacentral:snRNA from 1 species
GGAUGUGAGGGUGAUCUGGCUGUGACAUCUGUCACCCCACUGAUUGCCAGGGUUGACUCGCUUGAUCUGGCUGGCUAGGCUGGUGCCCCUUUUCCCCCUCACUGCUCCAUGUGCAUCCCUCCUGAAGCUGUGCACUCAGUCUAAGAGGACAAUCUUCCCCACUAGAGAAAGAAGGACUGUCUUCUGUCGAAGGUAUACGAGUAGCUGUGCUCCCCUGCUAGAACCUCCAAACAAGCUCUCAAGAAUUAAAUUAUAAUCCAACAUCCAGAAUACAAUGUGAGGGUGCAGCCUAAAACAUGAGGAUCUCAUAGGGAAAAAAAAACCACACUCCUUGAACAGCAAGGAGAUUUUCU